GUGGGGAAUAUUGGACAAUGGGCGAAAGCCUGAUCCAGCCAUGCCGCGUGUGUGAAGAAGGUCUUCGGAUUGUAAAGCACUUUAAGUUGGGAGGAAGGGCAGUAAGUUAAUACCUUGCUGUUUUGACGUUACCGACAGAAUAAGCACCGGCUAACUUCGUGCCAGCAGCCGCGGUAAUACGAAGGGUGCAAGCGUUAAUCGGAAUUACUGGGCGUAAAGCGCGCGUAGGUGGUUUUGUAAGUUGGAGGUGAAAUCCCCGGGCUCAACCUGGGAACUGCCUCCAAAACUGCAUGACUAGAGUACGGUAGAGGGUAGUGGAAUUUCCUGUGUAGCGGUGAAAUGCGUAGAUAUAGGAAGGAACACCAGUGGCGAAGGCGACUACCUGGACUGAUACUGACACUGAGGUGCGAAAGCGUGGGGAGCAAACAGGAUUAGAUACCCCAGUAGUCU
rnacentral:rRNA from 1 species